CCUACGGGAGGCAGCAGUGGGGGAUAUUGCACAAUGGGGGGAACCCUGAUGCAGCGACGCCGCGUGGGUGAAGGAGUGCUUCGGCAUGUAAAGCCCUAUCGGCAGGGAAGAAGCAAGACGGUACCUGACUAAGAAGCCCCGGCUAAAUACGUGCCAGCAGCCGCGGUAAUACGUAGGGGGCGAGCGUUAUCCGGAUUCACUGGGUGUAAAGGGAGCGUAGACGGCCAUGCAAGCCAGGGGUGAAAGCCCGGGGCCCAACCCCGGGACUGCCCUUGGAACUGCAUGGCUUGAGUGCGGGAGGGGCAGGCGGAAUUCCUGGUGUAGCGGUGAAAUGCGUAGAUAUCAGGAGGAACACCGACGGCGAAGGCGGCCUGCUGGACCGCGACUGACGUUGAGGCUCGAAAGCGUGGGGAGCGAACAGGAUUAGAUACCCUUGUAGUC
rnacentral:rRNA from 1 species